rnacentral:sRNA from 1 species
GUUAUGAUGAAAGGUGGCGAAAAUGAAUGUUUCCAGUAAAACCGUCGUGCUGAUUAAUGUCUUUGCUGCUGCAGGACUUUUGGGUCUGAUCUCGUUGAGAUUCGGCUGGUUUGCUUGAGGUGUUCAACCUUUGAGUACUUGCUGCGCAUGUUGGCGGGGAGGUCCCCCUCUCCGCCGACACCCGCCUAUUUUUU